rnacentral:rRNA from 1 species
AAGCUCGUAGUUGAAUUUCGGGCCUGGCUAGUCGGUUUAGCCGCAAGGCUAACACUGAUUCGGUUGGGCCUUUCCCUCUGGGGAACUAAUGUGUUCUUUACUGAAUGCGUUAGGGAUCCAGGACUGUUACUUUGAAAAAAUUAGAGUGUUUAAGACAGGCUUAUGCUUGAAUACAUUAGCAUGGAAUAACGGAAUAGGACUUUGUUUCUAUUUUGUUGGUUUUCAGGAACGAAGUAAUGAUUAAUAGGGAUAGUUGGG